rnacentral:rRNA from 1 species
UUUCGGGUUAGUGGCGGACGGGUGAGUAACGCGUGAGAAUCUGCCCUCAGGAGGGGGAUAACGGUUGGAAACGACCGCUAAUACCCCAUAUGCCGAGAGGUGAAAUGAAUUUCGCCUGAGGAUGAGCUCGCGUCUGAUUAGUUAGUUGGUGGGGUAAUGGCCUACCAAGACAUCGAUCAGUAGCUGGUCUGAGAGGAUGAUCAGCCACACUGGGACUGAGACACGGCCCAGACUCCUACGGGAGGCAGCAGUGGGGAAUUUUCCGCAAUGGGCGAAAGCCUGACGGAGCAACGCCGCGUGAGGGAUGAAGGCCUCUGGGCUGUAAACCUCUUUUAUCAAGGAAGAAGAUCUGACGGUACUUGAUGAAUAAGCCACGGCUAAUUCCGUGCCAGCAGCCGCGGUAAUACGGGAGUGGCAAGCGUUAUCCGGAAUUAUUGGGCGUAAAGCGUCCGCAGGCGGUCUGUCAAGUCUGCUGUUAAAGCGUGGAGCUUAACUCCAUUUCGGCAGUGGAAACUGACAGACUAGAGUGUGGUAGGGGCAGAGGGAAUUCCCGGUGUAGCGGUGAAAUGCGUAGAUAUCGGGAAGAACACCAGUGGCGAAGGCGCUCUGCUGGGCCAUAACUGACGCUCAUGGACGAAAGCCAGGGGAGCGAAAGGGAUUAGAUACCCCUGUAGUCCUGGCCGUAAACGAUGAACACUAGGUGUCGGGGGAAUCGACCCCCUCGGUGUCGUAGCCAACGCGUUAAGUGUUCCGCCUGGGGAGUACGCACGCAAGUGUGAAACUCAAAGGAAUUGACGGGGGCCCGCACAAGCGGUGGAGUAUGUGGUUUAAUUCGAUGCAACGCGAAGAACCUUACCAGGGUUUGACAUCC